rnacentral:rRNA from 1 species
GAUGAACGCUGGCGGCGUGCUUAACACAUGCAAGUCGAACGAGAAGCUUGUCUUCGGAUAAGUGGAGAGUGGCGCACGGGUGAGUAACACGUAACUAAUCUGCCUCAGAGAGCGGGAUAACGCGUCGAAAGAUGUGCUAAUACCGCAUAAGCUCACGAUCUGUAGAGGAUAGUGAGAAAAACUCCGGUGCUCUGAGAUGAGGUUGCGGUCCAUCAGCUAGUUGGUAAGGUAAAAGCUUACCAAGGCGACGACGGAUAGGGGGCCUGAGAGGGUGACCCCCCACACUGGGACUGAGACACGGCCCAG